GAACCCAGUGGGAGAUAAUUGGAUCAUGGGGGCAGUUUCCCCCAUGCUGUUCUUGUGAUAGUGAGUGAGUUCUCAUGAGAUCUGAUGGUUUUAUAUGUGUUUGACAGUUGCUUCUUCACAUGCCCACACUCUUUGGCCUGCCGCCAUGUAAGAAGUAACUGCUUCCCCUUCUGCUAUGAUUGUAAGUUUCCUUAGGCCUCCACAGCCAUGUGGAAUGUGCGUCAAUUAAACUUCUUUCCUUUAUAAAUUACCCAACCUCAGGUAUUUCUUUAUAGCAGUGUGAAAAUGGAAUAAUACAUUUUCUGAUAAUCACGCUUGAGGAAUUGGGGAAUUCAUAGUACCUGAGAUCAUAUAAUGGCCCCAGCCUGGGCAGUCAUAUGACCUUGGGGAGAUAACUUACCUUCUCCAUCUUAAUGUCUUCUCUAAAACUGGUGAGAUUGUUUCUGAGGGCUAAAUGAGCAUAGCCCACUUGGAACACUAUCAGGCACAUACUGCUUGCUAGGUGUUCAGUAUUCAUUUUUAUUGAGUUAGGACUGUGGUAACCCACUUUACGGCUCUUGAUUUUGUAUAACAAAGUCAUGCUUAGUGCUUUGUUAGUAAAAGACAGAAAAUCUGAAAGUCCCUGCCAUCAAAGGAAGAAACGGGAAAAAAGGAAGUUGGUAAGUUUCAGCACUUUAGAGCUUGGGGGGACAAGUUAGGUUUCUAUUUUAUGGAGGAGGUGGAGGCAGGGUGGAUUCUAAGGUGUCAUUCAAGACACACAGCCAUAACUCUUUAGUGAGAGUAGAGCUAGGGCCCCAGGGAUUGCUGUGGUCAAGUUGCAGACAAAAACUACCACUCACUGGAAGACAGGAGAGGAAUAUUUCAGGUGUAUCUACAUUGAAUCAACAAAUAAAAGUUGAACUUGGUUGCUAAUAGGACCCACUCUGCUAACUGCCAAUUUGUAUAGAACUCCUAGAGGAAGAUGGCUUCCAGUAAUGAACCACCCUGUUUUUAGGACUUAAAAGCUCAGGAAGCUGGUGGGUGAGGAAUGAAAACCUUAGUUCCACUGGCACUGAAGGAGGGGCCAGGAGAGCAGUGGCAUCUUAAGCCACAGGGUGGGACAGCGGGGGAGGGGCGGCAGCAAGGCUGGGGCAUUGUGAGGUGGGAGACAGGGCAUUGUGAGUCACGUGCCUGGGCUUCCACCUGGGCCAGUGGGCUUCAGUCUGUGGGUGACUGCAGAAGGAGCAGCUCCUUUUGUACUCUCUUCAGGCAGUUGUAUCUCUCAGCGCUUGUUGGGUUCCCAACCUAUUAAAUUAGCCACCUAUUUUUGACCCUCCCAGACAAGUCAACUCAGGAGAGGCGGCAGGGCGCGGGCCUUGGCCUGAGCCCCGCCUGGGGCCGGGCUGUGGGGUGGCCAGGUUAGCCGUCGGCAAGACCAUCUCUGAAAGUGCGGCAUAGCCUCGGCCUAGGGCAGCAGGAGUGCCUGAACAACACUGUGAGCGGAGGCACAGGUGGCAGCAGACAGUAGAGGCGCCCCAUGGGGAACAAAGUGAGCUGCUGUGUGUGCCCCAAAGUCUGCCAAGAGUCGGACCAGGAUGAGGGGUCAGGGUGUCCUCCUGAGUCAGCAGCUGAGGACACGACAGCAGCUGAAGACAUGGCAGCAGCCGAGGACACGACAGCAGCUGAGGACAUGGCAGCAGAUGAGGACACGACAGCAGAUGAGGACUCAACAGCAGAUGAGGACACGGCAGCAGCCGAGGACACAACAGCAGAUGAGGACACGGCAGCAGCCGAGGACACGGCAGCAGAUGAGGACACGGCAGCAGCUGAGGACACAACAGCAGAUGAGGACACCACAGCAGCAGUGCCCAUGGCUGCUGCUGUAGAACCUGCCGAGUUGACUGUUGAAGCUGGUGAGGUCCGUCCUGUGCACGACAUCUGUGAUGUGGGAUGCCUGAAGAUAGGGCUUUGGAGUCCAACCCUUCUGAUCAUCCAGAAGCAAAGAAAUCUGAAGCAGAUGAUAUGGCAUUAGAGUCUAACCCUUCUGAAGCAAGGAAAUCCCAAACAGCACAAGAAAUAGAAGAAAACAGCGGUACAAACCAUAUAGAUACAUAUUAUUUUUCUUCAAAAUUCAACUCAUGCUCGACAAUUUUCCUGGAAGACACCACAACCAGCUGCCCUCAUUUUAAAAUGACACUAAAAUCGUGAGUACCACUAUACUGCCAAGGGACAGAUUAAAAUUAUUUUAGCCAUUUGGUUGUCCUCUUCAAUCAGUUUAAGAAAUUGGAGUCAACUAAAUAUUGAUACCAGAUUCUAAAUAUUAAGUAUCAAUUUCUCUUUUCAUCUUCUACAUCAUAGUGGAAGGAAAAAUCUCUUAGCAAAUAAGCAAUUUCAGAAAAAGUGUUGCUAUUUAUUUGAUGCCUUUAUGCCUUAAGAGAAUGUUGAAUGCAGUAAGAAGGACACGUUCCCUUCAUUGAAUGCUUUUUGUUAAAAAUUAGUUUCUCAAUGCGUUGCAGGCCUAAGUCAAUGUGUACUACUUUGGACAUUAGUCUUAGAAGAAGGAACAGCUUUUUCUCCUCUGGCACCACAGUGUAUCUGCAUUUGAAUUUCUCCCAUUGUGCAUGAGCACCUCAUGGGCCACAAAGAUGCACUUUGAGAGCACUCUGAGAUGAAGUUUAUUUUUUAAAAGGAACAACCACCACCACCACCACCACAGGGGCUGUCCAGUGAUCAUUAUUAUCGUCUCCUUGGUUAUGAGUGUUGAUUUUUAAGCACAGUUUGGAAAGUGCUAAUUUAGAAUAUUAAUGUCCUUAUAUUUAAGUUUACUUUUCAUUCUGGAAAUGUAACUAGCUAGCUUAUAAACAAUUUUGUUUUGAAUGCACUAGCCUUUUUAGCUAAUUCAUUUGUCAGUAGCUUUUACUUUAGUUAAAAAUGGCAGGUUUACGCUCAUAAUAAUGUCACUUUCCUCCCUCCCUUAUAACAAUAGUUGAGAUGAAAUUGUGUUUCAGCAGAAAUUGGAAUCAAAUUAUGUCUUAGGUGCUGAGCUUUGGGACCUAUUGAGUAAUCACUAAAUGUCUGUAGUCAGCCAAGUUUCUUCGAUCUUUUUUCUUUUUCUUUUUCUUUCUUUUUUUUUUUUUUUUUUU